rnacentral:rRNA from 1 species
GUCGAACGGAAUUUACAUGAAGCCUAGCGAUUGUAAAUUUAGUGGCGGACGGGUGAGUAACGCGUGGGUAACCUGCCUUGUACUGGGGGACAACAGUUGGAAACGACUGCUAAUACCGCAUAAGCGCACAGCUUCGCAUGAAGCAGUGUGAAAAACUCCGGUGGUACAAGAUGGACCCGCGUCUGAUUAGCUGGUUGGUGAGGUAACGGCCCACCAAGGCGACGAUCAGUAGCCGGCCUGAGAGGGUGAACGGCCACAUUGGGACUGAGACACGGCCCAAACUCCUACGGGAGGCAGCAGUGGGGAAUAUUGCACAAUGGGGGAAACCCUGAUGCAGCAACGCCGCGUGAGUGAAGAAGUAUUUCGGUAUGUAAAGCUCUAUCAGCAGGAAAGAAAAUGACGGUACCUGACUAAGAAGCCCCGGCUAACUACGUGCCAGCAGCCGCGGUAAUACGUAGGGGGCAAGCGUUAUCCGGAUUUACUGGGUGUAAAGGGAGCGUAGACGGUUUUGCGAGUCUGAAGUGAAAGCCCGGGGCUUGACCCCGGGACUGCUUUGGAAACUGUAGGACUAGAGUGCAGGAGAGGUAAGUGGAAUUCCUAGUGUAGCGGUGAAAUGCGUAGAUAUUAGGAGGAACACCAGUGGCGAAGGCGGCUUACUGGACUGUAACUGACGUUGAGGCUCGAAAGCGUGGGGAGCAAACAGGAUUAGAUACCCUGGUAGUCCACGCCGUAAACGAUGAUUACUAGGUGUUGGUGGGUAUGACCCAUCGGUGCCGCAGCAAACGCAAUAAGUAAUCCACCUGGGGAGUACGUUCGCAAGAAUGAAACUCAA